GUCAGUUACAACAUAAACCAUGUUCUCUGGAGCUCUGCUGCUGCUGUUGGCAGCUGGAUGUGUGAAGUGUGAACAGUUGACCCAGCCAGCCUCUGUGACUGUGCAGCCAGGUCAACGUCUGACCAUCACCUGUCAGGUCUCUUAUUCUGUUGGUAGCUACUACACAGCUUGGAUCAGACAGCCUGCAGGGAAAGGACUGGAGUGGAUUGUAAGUGGAGCUGCUGGAUACACAACAUACUACAAAGAUUCACUGAAGAACAAGUUCAGUAUCAGCUUGGACUCUUCCAGCAACACAGUGACUCUAAAUGGACAGAAUGUGCAGCCUGAAGACACUGCUGUGUAUUACUGUGCCAGAGUGUUGAUGUCAGUCCAGGGGAGAUUCACCAUCUCCAGAGAUGACUCCAGCAGUAAACUCUAUCUGCAGAUGAACAGUCUGAAGACCGAGGACACAGCAGUGUAUUACUGUGCCCGAGAGACACAGUGA